UACGUAGGGUGCGAGCGUUAAUCGGAAUUACUGGGCGUAAAGCGUGCGCAGGCGGUUAUGCAAGCCAGAUGUGAAAUCCCCGGGCUCAACCUGGGAACUGCAUUUGUGACUGCGUAACUAGAGUGUGGCAGAGGGAGAUGGAAUUCCGCGUGUAGCAGUGAAAUGCGUAGAUAUGCGGAGGAACACCAAUGGCGAAGGCAAUCUCCUGGGCCUGCACUGACGCUCAUGCACGAAAGCGUGGGGAGCAAACAGG
rnacentral:rRNA from 1 species